GAGGCAUACAGAGAAGGCUGAAAGCUGAGGACGAAGCAGGAGUAUUAAGAAAAACCCUCCAGCAAUCCAGCUCUCCACCUAAGUACCAGGUAGCACUAGAGGAAUUUGAAGCAGAUGGUGCCCUGAGGGUAAGCAUAACAACAAAACCCAAUCCUAGGUCACUUCUGCCUAUAAUAAUUCCACUAGCAGCCUAGAAGAGGCAUGCCCAUUUCCUGUCAUAAAUAAUAUUUACCUCAGUCUCUACUGUCCUACUGCUAAACAAAAUCAUGAACAAUCAAAAAUUACAAGGCACAUGAAAAGCAAAACAAACAAGACCAACUCUGUCAAGAGAUAAAGCAAGCAGUGGAACUAAAUUCAUAGAUGACCUAAAUGUUGAAGUUAUUUGGGAAAUUAAAAUAACUAUGACUAAUAUACUAAAGGCUCUAGUGGAAAAGAUGGACAACAUGAGACUGUCACCCGCUUUGCUGGAUGUUUUUAAU
rnacentral:lncRNA from 1 species